rnacentral:rRNA from 1 species
GCGGUAAAACCAGCACCUCAAGUGGUCAGGAGGAUUAUUGGGCCUAAAGCAUCCGUAGCCUGUUCUAUAAGUUUGCGGUUAAAUCUAUACGCUCAACGUAUAGGCUGCCGUAAAUACUGUAGAACUAGGGAGUGGGAGAGGUAGACGGUACUCGAUAGGAAGGGGUAAAAUCCUUUGAUCUAUUGAUGACCACCUGUGGCGAAGGCGGUCUACCAGAACACGUUCGACGGUGAGGGAUGAAAGCUGGGGGAGCAAACCGGAUUAGAUACCCGGGUAGUCCCAGCUGUAAACGAUGCAGACUCGAUGAUGCAAUGGCAUAGAGCUAUUGCAGUAUCGCAGGGAAGCCGUUAAGUCUGCCGCCUGGGAAGUACGUACGCAAGUAUGAAACUUAAAGGAAUUGGCGGGGGAGCACGGUCAUACUU